GGACCCGCACAAGCGGAGGAACAUGUGGUUCAAUUCGAUGAUACGCGAGGAACCUUACCUGGGCUUAAAUGCAGAACGACAGGCUGGGAAACUGGCCCUUCUUCGGACGGUCUGCAAGGUGCUGCAUGGUUGUCGUCAGCUCGUGCCGUGAGGUGUCGGGUUAAGUCCCAUAACGAGCGCAACCCUUAUCGUUAGUUGCCAACGGGUCAUGCCGGGGACUCUAACGAAACUGCCGGCGUAAGCCGUGAGGAAGGUGGGGAUGACGUCAAAUCAGCACGGCCCUUAUGUCCAGGGCUACACACGUGUUACAAUGGCCGGAACAAAGGGCUGCUAUGCCGCGAGGCAAUGCUAAUCUCUAAAACCGGUCUCAGUUCGGAUCGAAGUCUGCAAUUCGACUUCGUGAAGUUGGAUUCGCUAGUAAUCGCGCAUCAGCAAUGGCGCGGUGAAUACGUUCCCGGGUCUU
rnacentral:rRNA from 1 species